rnacentral:rRNA from 1 species
GUACAGAGGGGGCAAGCGUUAUUCGGAAUUAUUGGGCGUAAAGGGCGCGUAGGCGGCCUGACAAGUGGAAAGGUGGAAAUCCCUCCGGUCUUAACCCGAGGAACUGCCCUCCAAACUGUCUGGCUUGAGACCGGGAGAGGUGGAGUGGAAUUCCCAGUGUAGCGGUGAAAUGCGUAGAUAUUGGGAGGAACACCAGUGGCGAAGGCGGCUCACUGGACCGGUACUGGACGCUGAGGCG